rnacentral:rRNA from 1 species
CUUGGCGACCAUAGCGUUGUGGACCCACCUGAACCCAUGCCGAACUCAGAAGUGAAACGCAACAGCGCCGAUGGUAGUGUGGGGUCUCCCCAUGUGAGAGUAGGACAUCGCCAGGC